rnacentral:rRNA from 1 species
AUGGCUAUGAGGCAGCAGCUACUCGAGGGCCGAGCGCUUGACCAUGAACUCGUGUCGAUCAUCAUAAGAAGGUACACUCAAUCCGACCAGGAAUCCAAUAUAGAGUGCCCAUACAUGAAAUGGAGGCACAACAUGGAGCCUGAAUUCGUGACGCUUGUGCUAGCGGACCAUGAGUAUGUCACCAACACAUCAAUCCAGGAGCAGCUCGCUGGGAAGGAUAUACCAUACGACAUAACAUCAUCUCAGAUGUUCUUUUUACCAGUUCCACUCGAGGAAGGUUGGAUAGUUCUUAUGUGGGACAUGAUGUCCAGGAAACUCCAUGUCCUUGACCCCCUAAUCAGAGGUGAUGGUCCAAGUGAAGCAAAAAAAGGCAAGCUUGAGAUGAUUGUCUGGAAGCUGCAUCAUGCUUUAUUUGAGUGUCUCAAUGAGUAUUAUGUUGGAUGGCCUACCCAAGGUAGUCAGUGGGUGACCAAGUAUCCGGUUGUUGCGGAAGAAUCAUUUACCAGAGACGAAACCGGGGGUUGCGUGCUUCAUGCCAUCAGGCACUAUGAUGGCUCUAAGUUGAAGAUUCCGCUCACGAAGUACAAUGCCGACAAAACCAAAAGGCAAGCACUGCAUGAGUGCCUCAAACUACGGGGGAACUCGUCGAAGUUGGUGCAUGAUGCAUUUUGGACGGCAGUCUUCGCUACCGCGUCAUACGUCAACCAAAACGUCAUGCUACCCUACUGUCGGAACAGUCGUAGGAGCACAACACGAGUACCAAAAGGUCUUGCACAGCCGAAGGCAACUUCGUUAAUCGAUGAUCACGUCAAAGAGGAAAUCUGGAAUAUAGUCGGUGAUGUCCCUGAAACGGGUGUUAUCGGCCUGGUUGGAGCUUGA